UGUAAUUUGUAGAGGAUGCUUCGGCUUACGUCUCGGUCUAAGUUCCUUGGAACAGGACGUCACAGAGGGUGAGAAUCCCGUUUGUGGCCGCGACUUCUGCCAUGUGAAGCUCCUUCGACGAGUCGAGUUGUUUGGGAAUGCAGCUCUAAAUGGGAGGUAUAUUUCUUCUAAAGCUAAAUAUUGGCCAGAGACCGAUAGCGCACAAGUAGAGUGAUCGAAAGAUGAAAAGCACUUUGGAAAGAGAGUUAAAAAGUACGUGAAAUUGUUGAAAGGGAAGCGUUUGCGACCAGACUUGCCUGCGGAUGCUCAACCGGUCCUUCGGCCGGUGCACUCUUCCGCAGUCAGGCCAGCAUCAGUUCGAGUAGCCAGAUAAAGGCUUUGGGAAUGUAGCUCUCUUCGGGGAGUGUUAUAGCCCUUUGUACAAUAUGGUUCACUUGGACUGAGGCCCGCGCUUCGGCUAGGAUGCUG
rnacentral:rRNA from 1 species